CGAACCUCGGGAGGCAGCAGUGGGGAAUAUUGCACAAGGGGGGAAACCCUGAUGCAGCGACGCCGCGUGAAGGAUGAAGUAUUUCGGUAUGUAAACUUCUAUCAGCAGGGAAGAAAAUGACGGUACCUGACUAAGAAGCCCCGGCUAACUACGUGCCAGCAGCCGCGGUAAUACGUAGGGGGCAAGCGUUAUCCGGAUUUACUGGGUGUAAAGGGAGCGUAGACGGCAUGGCAAGGCUGAUGUGAAAACCC
rnacentral:rRNA from 1 species